UUUGGAUGAGAUGACUUGACCCUAGCUAGCAUAACAUAAAUGGCAGCUAGCUCUACACUAUUUCGGGCAUUCGUUAACAAUCAGUGUUCAGAUAACUAGCGCAAACGUGCCGAGAUAUCUUGUUUAUUAUAAAAAUAAACGCUUGUGUUGUGCCAUGGCUUAUAUGGUGAUGACGUUUGAGAUUGUAAAUUUACGGGCCACAGAUGUGUCUAUGGUUUGAAACCCAGACAGCACGAAGCAUCUUGCCGACGUCAAAAUCAGAUCAACAGACAGGGACAUCAGCCUUCUCUUGGGAAUAGGCCAGAUAUGCCAUAACAAGAAAUGGUGUUUUGCCCCUGCGGUUGUGAAGAGGAUGCUGUGGAGGUGGCAGCAUGAACGUGUCACACAGACAUUGGCUAAACUACUCGGCUUCUACACUUGCCCUCAGAGUUCACAUAUGGUGAAGUGCACAGGUGUCCAGUCAGGUUCAGACUGAUGCUGGUAACAAGAGGAAAACAUGCUAAUUGAUGACCUUUCCAGCAUGUCCAACUCAUCAGCAUCAGGGGAGGAGAGUCGGUGAAGGUGGUGCACCAUCCAGGACCAGUCAUGGGCCACCAACACCUCUGCAAAAUCUGCACUUCUUGUGAACCCUCUAGAAGACACUACAACCACAAAACUGCUAAUAAACCAUCACAUACUACAUCA